CCAGCUCCAAUAGCGUAUAUUAAAGUUGUUGCAGUUAAAAAGCUCGUAGUUGGAUUUCUGGUUUGAGCGUCCGGUCGAGUUUAUCUCUGUACUAUGGAUGUUUGGGCCAUUUUUUGUGAGGGGGCUUUUCUGCCAUUCAGUUGGUGGUUGAGUCGACUUGCAUCGUUUACUGUGAAAAAAUUAGAGUGUUUAAAGCAGCCGUUUGGUCAUUUGAAUACAUUAGCAUGGAAUAAUAAGAUACGACCUUGGUCUAUUUUGUUGGUUUGCACACCGAGGUAAUGAUUAAUAGGGACAGUUGGGGGUAUUCAUAUUUCAACGUCAGAGGUGAAAUUCUUGGAUCGUUGAAAGAUGAGCUUAGGCGAAAGCAUUUACCAAGGAUGUUUUCAUUAAUCAAGAACGAAAGUUAGGGGAUCGAAGAUGAUUAGAUACCAUCGUAGUCUUAACCAUAAACUAUGCCGACUCGGGAUUGGCAGUCGUUUAUUUUGAAUGACCUUGUCAGCACCGUAUGAGAAAUCAAAGUCUUUGGGUUCCGGGGGGAGUAUGGUCGCAAGGCUGAAACUUAAAGGAAUUGACGGAAGGGCACCACCAGGAGUGGAGCCUGCGGCUUAAUUCGACUCAAC
rnacentral:rRNA from 1 species